GCAAUUCCUAGAAGAGUAACAUGCCCACACUAACAUAACAGAGACAGCAUCACCAGCAAAAUUAACAGUUUACCUGUGAUGUGUGUCUCUGUGUCUGCCAGCUGUAAAAAUGUUUGGAUUCAGGGGUACAGUAUGCACCUCUUCUGCUACUUUAUCUUCUGGAGUGCCUCUGAAAACCUGAAGGCUUGCCAGGAUCCACAGGUAGUGGGGGUCUGCACAAUUGUGAUGUGACCUGAGCCAAUCAUCACCUCUGCAUUCUAGACAGCAACUAAGGCCUUUGUUGAUUUGUCAUCAAAAACAGGAAAUUCUCUUUGGAAGUGAGCAAACCAUCAAGCACCUGGGAUAAACUGAUUGAAUAGGACAUUCCUCUGUUAGAGGAGUCUGCUCUCCCAAAACACCAACUCUCCCCCACUUUUACCUAUCACAUCCUCACGUCAAAAGGCUCCAUCAAUAACACAAUCAUGGAGAAAAUCUAUCUAAAUAAGGCCAACAAUUUACUGACAUACUAAGAGAGGAGCAGUUUUGCUCUCAACACUAUCUCCCAACAGUGGCACUUAUUGCCACUAUAGCUGAAUCCAGCUAGUUUGCUGCUGGCCAUCCUCUUCUUCUCUUUCUUUACAUUUUUCCCAGCAUCAGAGCCUUCUCUAGGGAUCUAAAUCUUUAUAUAAUGUGUCUGAAGUAGGAUAAUUUGAGCCUGACCAUUUGUACCUUGACUAAGAAUCUGGGUUAAUUUGUUAAAUAAUUAUGAUAAUGUAAUUGCUAAGAGUCAAUAUGAAUUCAACAGCACAUAAUCAACCAAUUACUGGUGUUAUUGAUUCUUAUCUAUCUUAUGGUAUUAAAUUUUAUCUUGGUGUUUAAA